CAAUAGCGUAUAUUAAAGUUGUUGCGGUUAAAAAGCUCGUAGUUGGAUUUCUGCCGAGGACGACCGGUCCGCCCUCUGGGUGAGUAUCUGGCUCGGCCUGGGCAUCUUCUUGGAGAACGUAUCUGCACUUGACUGUGUGGUGCGGUAUCCAGGACUUUACUUGAGGAAAUUAGAGUGUUUCAAGCAGGCACACGCCUUGAAUACAUUAGCAUGGAAUAAUAAGAUAGGACCUCGGUUCUAUUUUGUUGGUUUCUAGAGCUGAGGUAAUGAUUAAUAGGGAUAGUUGGGGGCAUUCGUAUUGAACAGUCAGAGGUGAAAUUCUUAGAUUUGUUCAAGACGAACUACUGCGAAAGCAUUUGCCAAGUACGUUCCCAUUAAUCAAGAACGAAAGUUAGGGGAUCGAAGAUGAUCAGAU
rnacentral:rRNA from 1 species